AAAAAUGGAUCUGAUGGAUCCGAUGGAUCCAAUGGAUCCGAUGGAUCUGAUAUCAGAUCCAUUUUUUUUAUAUAACUAAGAUCCAUUGGAUCCAUCGGAUCCAUUUUUUUUAUAUAACUAAAAUCCAUUGGAUCCAUCAGAUCCAUCGGAUCCAUUUUUUU
rnacentral:miRNA from 1 species